UGAGGAAACAUUCGACGACCGAACAAAGGGUGCGUUCGGCUGGAAGUUAGGGGUACAUACACGAAAAGGAGCGGUGUUCCUAUUCGGAACUCUGAAACGAUCAUUAUUGUUAAAUUACGGCUAUAAUGUGUUAUAAUAUUAGGUGGGUAUUAUGAUGAAUGGUAAACAAUAUUCUAUUAAACAUGUGGAUGGCGCGUAAUGUUGCUGUAUAUAGUGCAAUAGCUAGGUGUAUUCGACGAAAACGCAAGUGUAUACCGUUGUUUUCAACGGGCUGGUAUUAUUAUAUCAGCUAACGAAAACACGUUCAGGUACUCCUAAUAAAUAAUAACAGCGCCUAUAGUAUAACGAUAAUAUUAACGUCGUGUUUAUUGUUGCUCGGUGUCCCUAACGGAAUGAAAUUAAUUAGUUUUAAGAAUUAUUAUUGUUGUACGGUGUAAAACACAUGUUGUACACUUGUUUUCGAUCCACUACGUUAAAUGUACGCGACUGCACGUCGCAGUAUGCCGAUAUG